GAUGAACGCUGGCGGCGUGCCUAAUACAUGCAAGUCGAGCGAACAGACGAGGAGCUUGCUCCUCUGACGUUAGCGGCGGACGGGUGAGUAACACGUGGAUAACCUACCUAUAAGACUGGGAUAACUUCGGGAAACCGGAGCUAAUACCGGAUAAUAUAUUGAACCGCAUGGUUCAAUAGUGAAAGACGGUUUUGCUGUCACUUAUAGAUGGAUCCGCGCCGCAUUAGCUAGUUGGUAAGGUAACGGCUUACCAAGGCGACGAUGCGUAGCCGACCUGAGAGGGUGAUCGGCCACACUGGAACUGAGACACGGUCCAGACUCCUACGGGAGGCAGCAGUAGGGAAUCUUCCGCAAUGGGCGAAAGCCUGACGGAGCAACGCCGCGUGAGUGAUGAAGGUCUUCGGAUCGUAAAACUCUGUUAUUAGGAAAGAACAAAUGUGUAAGUAACUAUGCACGUCUUGACGGUACCUAAUCAGAAAGCCACGGCUAACUACGUG
rnacentral:rRNA from 1 species